UCGUAACAUUUGACGACCCAUAGGAUAGAGAUAAAGGUCUUUUACCUCUGAACAUCCCAAAAUCAAAAUGGUGAUGCAAGUGCUGAGGAAUUAUUGGUGGGCAGCCAUCACACCUGCCUUUGCUCUGGUAGGGUACUACCUUGACGCGCAGCAGACUGUCCGCUACUCUGGCUGGAAGAACAAGACAGAGCUGUACAAGAGGGAGUUAAAACAAGGGGAGGACCCAUGGACCUCCACCAUCAGAUCCUGAAGAGAGAACAGAGGGCUUUUAAACAUGGAUGAUCUAUUGACAAGUGGGCCAUUGUGGAAAUUCAGUUUAGAAUAUCAAACAUUGAUUGGAAGUUGACACGUGUUAGCGGUAGUCAUUAUUUAUCAAUCAUCAGUGAUUGGGUAAUGCCGAUGUCGUUGGUGUGUUAACAGAAAAUACCUCUUGUGCAGAUAAGUACUCCUCAAACACUAUGCAAUACACCAAUCUAUAGUUUACUGUGUACAGGACUGAAUCUGUAAUGAAAGCAGAACAUGUAGGCUGUAAAUAGUGGAGUCAGUCAAGCCUCGAGGAAAUGCCAGAGGCUUAAGCUCGUCUAAAAACAUCAUCUUCAUGUACAAGUAGAUGUUCAUGGUUGACUUUGGUUAAAAUGUGUCAAAUUUCAGUUAUUAUACUCUGCAUUUGAAUUAAUAUAUUUUGAUGUACUCAGCAAUACAUUGGCGUUGAUGCUUCAUCAAUUGUCAUUGGUGAAAGGCUCCACAGGCUUUUUAACUGGUUGAUUUUUAUUUUGUUUCAUACUGUGCAUUAACUGUAAUAAAUAAAACCAACAAACUGUGAA